GUGAAGUGAUGAAUCAGUUUAUCCAUUCUCUGAGCGGCCAUCUUGUCGCAGUCCCUGCCCUGCUCCCGUUCUGGGGGCGGGGCCUCUCCACUGUGGCGCCGGCGUCGUCCUGGCGUUCUGCUGGGACGACAACCCGACGCCGCGCGGAGAGAACGACCCGACUCGAGCGCCGCGAAGACGAUUUACACGUUCUGAUCAC